CCUACGGGAGGCAGCAGUGAGGAAUAUUGGUCAAUGGACGAGAGUCUGAACCAGCCAAGUAGCGUGAAGGAUGACUGCCCUAUGGGUUGUAAACUUCUUUUAUAUGGGAAUAAAAUGUUCCACGUGUGGGAUUUUGUAUGUACCAUAUGAAUAAGGAUCGGCUAAUUCCGGGCCAGCAGCCGCGGUAAUACGGAGGAUCCGAGCGUUAUCCGGAUUUAUUGGGUUUAAAGGGAGCGUAGGUGGAUUGUUAAGUCAGUUGUGAAAGUUUGCGGCUCAACCGUAAAAUUGCAGUUGAAACUGGCAGUCGUGAGUACAGUAGAGGUGGGCGGAAUUCGUGGUGUAGCGGUGAAAUGCUUAGAUAUCACGAAGAACUCCGAUUGCGAAGGCAGCUCACUGGACUGCAACUGACACUGAGGCUCGAAAGUGUGGGUAUCAAACAGGAUUAGAUACCCUAGUAGUC
rnacentral:rRNA from 1 species